GCCGGGCGGGUCUACCAUGCAGUCGAACGAUGAACCACCUUCGGGUGGGGAUUAGUGGCGAACGGGUGAGUAACACGUGGGCAAUCUGCCCUGCACUCUGGGACAAGCCCUGGAAACGGGGUCUAAUACCGGAUACUGACCUGCCGAGGCAUCUCGGCGGGUCGAAAGCUCCGGCGGUGCAGGAUGAGCCCGCGGCCUAUCAGCUUGUUGGUGAGGUAAUGGCUCACCAAGGCGACGACGGGUAGCCGGCCUGAGAGGGCGACCGGCCACACUGGGACUGAGACACGGCCCAGACUCCUACGGGAGGCAGCAGUGGGGAAUAUUGCACAAUGGGCGCAAGCCUGAUGCAGCGACGCCGCGUGAGGGAUGACGGCCUUCGGGUUGUAAACCUCUUUCAGCAGGGAAGAAGCGAGAGUGACGGUACCUGCAGAAGAAGCGCCGGCUAACUACGUGCCAGCAGCCGCGGUAAUACGUAGGGCGCAAGCGUUGUCCGGAAUUAUUGGGCGUAAAGAGCUCGUAGGCGGCUUGUCGCGUCGGUUGUGAAAGCCCGGGGCUUAACCCCGGGUCUGCAGUCGAUACGGGCAGGCUAGAGUUCGGUAGGGGAGAUCGGAAUUCCUGGUGUAGCGGUGAAAUGCGCAGAUAUCAGGAGGAACACCGGUGGCGAAGGCGGAUCUCUGGGCCGAUACUGACGCUGAGGAGCGAAAGCGUGGGGAGCGAACAGGAUUAGAUACCCUGGUAGUCCACGCCGUAAACGGUGGGCACUAGGUGUGGGCAACAUUCCACGUUGUCCGUGCCG
rnacentral:rRNA from 1 species